GACGAACGCUGGCGGCGUGCUUAACACAUGCAAGUCGAGCGGUAAGGCCCUUUGGGGUACACGAGCGGCGAACGGGUGAGUAACACGUGGGUGACCUGCCCCCUACUCUGGGAUAAGCCUGGGAAACUGGGUCUAAUACCGGAUAUGACCUGCGAUUGCAUGAUUGUGGGUGGAAAGUUUUUCGGUGGGGGAUGGGCCCGCGGCCUAUCAGCUUGUUGGUGGGGUGAUGGCCUACCAAGGCGACGACGGGUAGCCGGCCUGAGAGGGCGACCGGCCACACUGGGACUGAGACACGGCCCAGACUCCUACGGGAGGCAGCAGUGGGGAAUAUUGCGCAAUGGGCGGAAGCCUGACGCAGCGACGCCGCGUGGGGGAUGACGGCCUUCGGGUUGUAAACCUCUUUCAGCACAGACGAAGCGCAAGUGACGGUACGUGCAGAAGAAGCACCGGCCAACUACGUGCCAGCAGCCGCAGUAAA
rnacentral:rRNA from 1 species